rnacentral:rRNA from 1 species
AGAGUUUGAUCAUGGCUCAGGACGAACGCUGGCGGCGUGCCUAAUACAUGCAAGUCGAACGCAAAACUUUCACCGAAUGCUUGCAUUCACGAAAGUUUUGAGUGGCGAACGGGUGAGUAACACGUGGGUAACCUGCCCAGAAGAGGGGGAUAACACUUGGAAACAGGUGCUAAUACCGCAUAAUAACAAAAACCGCAUGGUUUUUGUUUGAAAGAUGGUUUUGCUAUCACUUCUGGAUGGACCCGCGGCGUAUUAGCUAGUUGGUAAGGUAAAGGCUUACCAAGGCAAUGAUACGUAGCCGAACUGAGAGGUUGAUCGGCCACAUUGGGACUGAGACACGGCCCAAACUCCUACGGGAGGCAGCAGUAGGGAAUCCUCCACAAUGGACGAAAGUCUGAUGGAGCAACGCCGCGUGAGUGAAGAAGGUUUUCGGAUCGUAAAACUCUGUUGUUGGAGAAGAACGUAUUUGAUAGUAACUGAUCAGGUAGUGACGGUAUCCAACCAGAAAGCCACGGCUAACUACGUGCCAGCAGCCGCGGUAAUACGUAGGUGGCAAGCGUUGUCCGGAUUUAUUGGGCGUAAAGCGAGCGCAGGCGGUUUCUUAAGUCUGAUGUGAAAGCCUUCGGCUCAACCGAAGAAGUGCAUCGGAAACUGGGAAACUUGAGUGCAGAAGAGGACAGUGGAACUCCAUGUGUAGCGGUGAAAUGCGUAGAUAUAUGGAAGAACACCAGUGGCGAAGGCGGCUGUCUGGUCUGUAACUGACGCUGAGGCUCGAAAGCAUGGGUAGCAAACAGGAUUAGAUACCCUGGUAGUCCAUGCCGUAAACGAUGAGUGCUAGGUGUUGGAGGGUUUCCGCCCUUCAGUGCCGCAGCUAACGCAUUAAGCACUCCGCCUGGGGAGUACGACCGCAAGGUUGAAACUCAAAGGAAUUGACGGGGGCCCGCACAAGCGGUGGAGCAUGUGGUUUAAUUCGAAGCAACGCGAAGAACCUUACCAGGUCUUGACAUCCUUUGACCACUCUAGAGAUAGAGUUUUCCCUUCGGGGACAUGGAUACAGGUGGUGCAUGGUUGUCGUCAGCUCGUGUCGUGAGAUGUUGGGUUAAGUCCCGCAACGAGCGCAACCCUUAUUAUCAGUUGCCAGCAUUAAGUUGGGCACUCUGGUGAGACUGCCGGUGACAAACCGGAGGAAGGUGGGGAUGACGUCAAAUCAUCAUGCCCCUUAUGACCUGGGCUACACACGUGCUGCAAUGGGCAGUACAACGAGAAGCGAGCCUGCGAAGGCAAGCGAAUCUCUGAAAGCUGUUCUCAGUUCGGACUGCAGUCUGCAACUCGACUGCACGAAGCUGGAAUCGCUAGUAAUCGCGGAUCAGCACGCCGCGGUGAAUACGUUCCCGGGCCUUGUACACACCGCCCGUCACACCAUGGGAGUCUGCAAUGCCCAAAGCCGGUGGCCUAACCUUCGGGAAGGAGCCGUCUAAGGCAGGGCAGAUGACUGGGGUGAAGUCGUAACAAGGUAACC